ensembl:snoRNA SNORA71 Small nucleolar RNA SNORA71
UCCUGCGUUUGUAAGUGAUCAGGGGGAGCCCAUGCCCUGGUCAUUGGUAGUGCAGGCAGAGGAAAUGUGGAAAAAAUGGUCCUGUGUUGGGAAGGUCCACACCAUGCCUUUCAGUGCUGGGGGCUUUCCUGUA